rnacentral:rRNA from 1 species
UAUAGGUUUGGUCCCAGCCUUCCUGUUAACUUUCAAUAGACUUAUACAUGCAAGCAUCCACGCCCCGGUGAGUAACGCCCUUCGAAUCACACAGGACUAAAAGGAGCAGGUAUCAAGCACACACUCUUGUAGCUCACAACGCCUUGCUUAACCACACCCCCACGGGAGACAGCAGUAACAAAAAUUAAGCCAUAAACGAAAGUUUGACUAAGCCAUAUUGACUAGGGUUGGUAAAUCUCGUGCCAGCCACCGCGGUCAUACGAUUGACCCAAGCUAACAGGAGUACGGCGUAAAGCGUGUUAAAGCAUCAUACUAAAUAGAGUUAAAUUUUAAUUAAACUGUAAAAAGCCAUAAUUAUAACAAAAAUAAAUGACGAAAGUAACCCUACAAUAGCUGAUACACCAUAGCUAAGACCCAAACUGGGAUUAGAUACCCCACUAAGCUUAGCCCUAAACACAAAUAAUUAU